rnacentral:rRNA from 1 species
ACGAUGAAGCUGGAGCUUGCUCCGGUGGAUUAGUGGCGAACGGGUGAGUAACACGUGAGCAAUCUGCCCUUGACUCUGGGAUAACUGCGGGAAACUGUAGCUAAUACCGGAUACUUUCCUCGGUGGGCAUCCACUGGGGAAGAAAGAAUUUCGGUCAAGGAUGAGCUCGCGGCCUAUCAGCUAGUUGGUGAGGUAAUGGCUCACCAAGGCGACGACGGGUAGCCGGCCUGAGAGGGUGACCGGCCACACUGGGACUGAGACACGGCCCAGACUCCUACGGGAGGCAGCAGUGGGGAAUAUUGCACAAUGGACGCAAGUCUGAUGCAGCAACGCCGCGUGAGGGACGAAGGCCUUCGGGUUGUAAACCUCUUUUAGCAGGGAAGAAGCGAAAGUGACGGUACCUGCAGAAAAAGCACCGGCUAACUACGUGCCAGCAGCCGCGGUAAUACGUAGGGUGCAAGCGUUGUCCGGAAUUAUUGGGCGUAAAGAGCUCGUAGGCGGUUUGUCACGUCUGCUGUGAAAUUUCGAGGCUCAACCUCGAACUUGCAGUGGGUACGGGCAGGCUAGAGUGCAGUAGGGGAGAUGGGAAUUCCUGGUGUAGCGGUGGAAUGCGCAGAUAUCAGGAGGAACACCAAUGGCGAAGGCACAUCUCUGGGCUGUAACUGACGCUGAGGAGCGAAAGCGUGGGGAGCGAACAGGAUUAGAUACCCUGGUAGUCCACGCCGUAAACGGUGGGUGCUAGCUGUGGGCCACAUUCCACGUGGUCCGUGACGAAGUUAACACAUUAAGCACCCCGCCUGGGGAGUACGGCCGCAAGGCUAAAACUCAAAGGAAUUGACGGGGG